AGCCCGCUCAGAAACUCAAAUGAAGUUGACGGGGCCCGCACAAGCGGCGGAGCAUGUGGAUUAAUUCGAUGCAACGCGAAGAACCUUACCUGGGUUUGACAUACACCGGAAAACCGUAGAGAUACGGUCCCCCUUGUGGUCGGUGUACAGGUGGUGCAUGGCUGUCGUCAGCUCGUGUCGUGAGAUGUUGGGUUAAGUCCCGCAACGAGCGCAACCCUUGUCUUAUGUUGCCAGCACGUGAUGGUGGGGACUCGUAAGAGACUGCCGGGGUCAACUCGGAGGAAGGUGGGGACGACGUCAAGUCAUCAUGCCCCUUAUGUCCAGGGCUUCACACAUGCUACAAUGGCCAGUACAGAGGGCUGCGAGACCGUGAGGUGGAGCGAAUCCCUUAAAGCUGGUCUCAGUUCGGAUCGGGGUCUGCAACUCGACCCCGUGAAGUCGGAGUCGCUAGUAAUCGCAGAUCAGCAACGCUGCGGUGAAUACGUUCCCGGGCCUU
rnacentral:rRNA from 1 species